rnacentral:rRNA from 1 species
UACGUAGGGCGCAAGCGUAUCCGGAAUUAUUGGGCGUAAAGAGCUCGUAGGCGGUUUGUCGCGUCUGCCGUGAAAGUCCGGGGCUCAACUCCGGAUCUGCGGUGGGUACGGGCAGACUAGAGUGAUGUAGGGGAGACUGGAAUUCCUGGUGUAGCGGUGAAAUGCGCAGAGUAUCAGGAGGAACACCGAUGGCGAAGGCAGGUCUCUGGGCAUUAACUGACGCUGAGGAGCGAAAGCAUGGGGGAGCGAACAGG